UAUCGGACUCUGAGCCACGGGUAUUCGCUUCUUGCGUACCCGACAUCCUCAUGUGGCAGGAGUCUGUGAACGUUUAUUCAGGAACGUCUACAACCAACCUGACGUGCCCGGCUCCUGCGACGCCGUUUGCUGCCACUUUAGAACCACUUUCGGUGCAUGGGCGGGAUAGGACGGCACUUGUGGCACUGGCACUGGCACCGGUUACACUGACACGGUCUUCAUGUGGG